AGGCAGACCGAGAGGGAGGCACACCGGGCUGCUGGCAGGACACGAUGCACAUACGGAGCGUUGAUGCAGACAGGAGAGCCGGCUUUAUUCAGGCAUUUAUUAAAGCUUCUGUGACGUCUGCGCUCCAUCAAGCAGCAGAGAAGAAAACCCAACAUGGCAGUUGAAGUGAUUCAUGUAUCAAAGCGUCCAGUCUGAGCAGACCCUGUGGCCACUAUAAAGCCAAACCAAAGUGCUGCAAUACAUUCAGAGGAGCCACCAGAUGAGCUGUUUCCUCUGACAGAAGACUUGCUGGACCGACUGCAGCUUCCUGAUUCAGCUCCUCUCUUUUCGAACUCUCUCUCUUCGUGAUUUUUUUCUGCAAAAAGCGACUACUGUAAAUAUUUACAUGCCGUGUCUGGCAGCUGUGAGAGACACAGAACACCUUGAGGAAGACCGGUUAUGACUCUGCUACUUCUGGUUACCCUCGCCGAGCCCUGCAGGCAGGCCUGGAAGUGAGAGUUCGAUGAGCAGCUGCACUUCUUGUUUUGUGGAACUUUGUGGUUCACCUCGCUUUACCCCCAGCAUGUCUCUGUCUUUUUAACGUUUUUUUUUUUUAACUUCCUUUUAUUGAAGAAACAACUCAUACACAUAUUCCAGAGCAAAAACGUACUCAUUUACAUUUACCGAGGCAGUGCUGGAGUCUAACUGUAAAACUCAGAUUUCCCUUUGAGACCUAACAAAAUAGAUAAAUGCUGAAAUACAUUCAACCCUUCUGCAAUUAUUUUGCAUCACCCUUUAGUAAUAUUAAUAUUAAUGCCCGUUAUUUAUUUAUUCUCCUCAGUGAAUAAACAUGAAGGGAAAAAAAUACACAGUGCACUUACAAGAUAGAGCAAACGCAGUGCAACCAAGCACGCAAAUAAAAAUGAAAAAAUCUUAAAGAAAAGUACGAAUAUAGGAAUAAAAACUGAUUAAAGUCAAGUUUAGUCUCUAAAUUGUCACUAAAUUGCAAUUUUUGUCUAAUUUUUGCAGCUGCAUGUGCUUAUAAAAUGUGUAAAACUCCAGAAACUAUACAUGUCAUAAUUUGAAAAUAUAAUACCCCAUUCCUUCUGCAUCAUAUUACUAGUAAUCUGCAUCCCGGUGCAUGUAAACACAUUAAUGAAUAAGUGAGUGCAUUACUGAUGAUGUAUCUUACUCCUCACCUGUGAAGUCUGCAGGUGAAUGAGUGAGGAUGAGCAUAUCUACUGACCCCUACAUGUAGAAUAACUGUGUCUCCCUGUGUAAUCUGUCUCCUGACCCGUUUGCACACAACAUGGGCUGCGCUAUGUGUUCGCAGCUGGUUGACAUGUGGACCGUGAGGGUGAGCAGGACCGGCCGCAGGGCCAUGGAGCUCACCGCCUACCCACAGAUGCUCCAGGGAGGCUACCACAGAGUGACGGGCCUCCACUACAUGUCCUCCUUCUCCGACGCCGAGGACUGCUGUGAUGACACCAGCUCGGGCAGUUCGCUCACUCUGGACUGGCAGACACAAGCCAAUGAUGGCUGACAGCUGACCACGAGGCGUUGUGAUGCAAACAUGUAACUAAACAUGAUGAAUUACAGUAAAUGUGGUUAUAUCUCUUCUU